CUCAAAUGCCAUUUACACAUGAGGGUAGCGUCUUCUUGCCCCCCUAGGCAUUGCUCUGCUCCUGGGCCCUGCUGGAUCAUGUCCCAGAGCCUUUGACUGAAGUGGCUCUUUCCUUCCUGACAGUCUCUGCUGGCUGAACCUCACCGGGCCCUAAACCUGCCCAGAAGGGAAGGGCUCCUGUUAAGUGAAUAUUGUAGGGUGAAUACUUGGGGUCUGCUCCCCAAAUCUCAUGUCAGGCUCAUCCCACAUCUCUUGAAGAAAUCAGCACUUGGCCUGAAAACCUGGAGAGGUGGGUUAGGAACAAACCUCCUCAAACCUCCUGAUGGGUCAUGCCAUAUCCCUACUUUCUUCAUCCUCGACUCUGGAGGACACAUCUUGGUGGAGGAGCUCAGGCUUCAGAUAAAUCAGUGCUCUCAGUUGCACUGCCAUCGUGGUCGUGUUGCUGCUGCUUUACUCCUGGGGUACAGAGUCUUUUUCAGAUUUGGAAACCCACACUCCCCACACUUUUUUUCUUUUUCCUAGUUUGUGUUUAUACUCUGGUACAACAGACAAGAGGGUUGCCUUUCCCUUGUGGAUUAGGGAGACAAGCAGAGAAUGGGAACUCCUCACCUCAGGAGUCGGGUGGGACACUCAGCAGGUUACCAGCAGGGAAAGCCCCAUCAGCAGGAUGAGCCCGGGGCAUCCUCAGACACUUUCUGCACAUCACUUACUUACAACUUCCUCCUGUGGAUCAAAAAAACAAGCUCAGUGUCCCUACACCUGGCAGAGAAAAUGAAGCUUGAAAUGGAGCUUCCUUGCUGGUGGCAAUGGAAGUCAAAGACAGAAAAGCCUAGAGAAAUGGAGGUGAAAUCCUGCAAAUACAGCAGACGCAGGCCCACUUUUUCCAUCUGAUUGAGUUUUAUCAUGGACUUGCAACUUCAAAAAAAAACAUCUCAGGUCCUGCAGGCAUGUGAAUAUCAGCUUUAAUUUUCUGCAAGUGAAUUGCUGAAACUUGUAGUUUCUGAGAACAGUUGAAAAACAACUUCCAAGUACUAAAAUCCCUAGCAUACAAAUAAAAAUAACAUGGCUAACAAUGUA